AUAACACCUGAGGAAGGAACCAAGGGAGUGACAGAUAUAGGGAAGAUAAUCAAGGAGGUGAUGGAGUCCAGGUGAGUGACAGAUAUAGGGAAGAUAAUCAAGGAGGUGAUGGAGUCCAGGUGAGUGACAGAUAUAGAGAAGAUAAUCAAGGAGGUGAUGGAGUCCAGGUGAGUGACAGAUAUAGAGAAGAUAAUCAAGGAGGUGAUGGAGUCCAGGUGAGUGACAGAUAUAGGGAAGAUAAUCAAGGAGGUGAUGAAGUCCAGGUGAGUGACAGAUAUAGGGAAGAUAAUCAAGGAGGUGAUGGAGUCCAGGUGAGUGACAGAUAUAGGGAAGAUAAUCAAGGAGGUGAUGGAGUCCAGGUGAGUGACAGAUAUAGGGAAGAUAAUCAAGGAGGUGAUGGAGUCCAGGUGAGUGACAGAUAUAGGGAAGAUAAUCAAGGAGGUGAUGGAGUCCAGGUGAGUGACAGAUAUAGAGAAGAUAAUCAAGGAGGUGAUGGAGUCCAGGUGAGUGACAGAUAGAGGGAAGAUAAUCAAGGAGGUGAUGGAGUCCAGGUGAGUGACAGAUAUAGGGAAGAUAAUCAAGGAGGUGAUGGAGUCCAGGUGAGUGACAGAUAUAGGGAAGAUAAUCAAGGAGGUGAUGGAGUCCAGGUGAGUGACAGAUAUAGGGAAGAUAAUCAAGGAGGUGAUGGAGUCCAGGUGAGUGUCAGAUAUAGGG